UACUCACGGAGCAAAAGAAAGAGAGAGAGAGAAACUGAGGACCCCUGCCCCAGUCAAUGCUCAGGCCUACAUGAAUUUUGGAACCAGGGGCAUCUAGAGCCAUCGCACUCAGCGUGCAGGAUGGAUCUGCUUUGUGGAUCAAUCAGAAUUGCGUAGUGAAGAUGGCUGCUGACUGGAGGAAUCCUGUUUCAUUUUGUUGCAGAAAUUAAAAAGCGUGCAGUGAAUGAAGCUGGGGAUUGCAAGUCAAGAAAGGAGGUAACAUGGUAAACCUUUGAAAUGUAGUCUUUGAAAAGUGAGCCCAGACAAAGCUUCUCUCGCCCGCUGCAGUGUAGAUGCCAUCCUGUCUUCCUCAAGUUCAUCGACCCUGCUUCAAGAGGCAGGAAGGCAUCCAGGAGGUACAGCAUCCACCCACCCAUCCUGAUGGUUAAGUAUUCCUCUUUCCCCACCUGCUCUCCUGAUGGCUUUGUUUAGCUUGUAUGUAAGUGUGCUUUUCUUUGUCUUUGGUCACAUCUUGUCUAUUUUACAUCAGACACACAUUCAAGCAAGUGGAACCACAUUCCUUUGCCUGAAACAGACUUUCCAAAUACAUUUUAAGAACACAUUUGCAGCACGUACCUAUAAAGUCCUUGGUGGAUUUACUGUACAUACACCACACAAGGAUUUUUGGGACCAGCAUGUUACCAGUUUGGAUAUACCACCUUACAUGACACCUUUUAGAUACAGAUUAUGACAACAGUGUGUUAGGUAUAGUAAGUGGUGUCAGGCCUGACAAGAGCUGCUGACACAGAGUAGUGAACCACCAACAGGCCUGUGUCACAGACACCUCCUAUGAUGCACCUCAAAUCAUGUUGUUCCCAUGAUGCCUUACAUGCCUCAGACAGAGUGGAGAUUGCACCUGAACUACAACACCCAGAAAGCACCACAGCAUAGGCAGAUGCAGCUUAAUGUCAAACUGACCCAAAAAUCAAAUAUUUGGUUUUGAUUUUACUAAUGGAAAAUUGAAAAAAUUCAGCAAAAUCUCACAGAACAUUUCGUUUUGCAGAAACUGCAUUUUCUGUCAGAAAAAUUAUUCUGAUAGAAAAUUCCCAUCCAGCCUCCACUCCUACUGCCAAACCAUCAACUUAUUUCCUGCGUUUGGGGUGGGAUGUGCAACCUACAGCAAGUAGUCAAACAGGACUGUCACAUGCACUGCACCUUUGCUCCUGCAGCAUCAGUGCCAUUUGUCUCAUCUAUGGCAACAAUUACAAUACCAUGACAGCUACAGCGACUGGGUCUCAGCCAGUCUGGAGCUGCAGAUUGUCUCCCUCACAGCAGGAAAUAAGGCAACUGUCCAAAUCACAGGAGAAAUGGGAGGAAGAGGAGGAGAGGGAUGAGCUUUCUGGAACCUUUACUUUCCAUAGAUAUGCUUUUUAUUUUAACAAUGGGAGAAAAUCAAGUACAGGAACCAGGAGUAAUAUGAAGCAGUAUAAAGAUCUGCUACAAGAUUUUGCUUUAAAACAUUCUCUCAGACAAAAGAUUAAAUUACCAUUUGAAUGCCAUGGUAGAAGAGCUAAUAAUGUUGAUUUUAUGUUCCAAAAAAAAUUAAGGAUCUUGCCUCUUGGUAAUACACAGUCCUUUCAACUUCAAUUAAGGGAAGUGUGGUUCCAAUCAUUUAUACUCUAAGGUUUCUUUCUUUUUACCACCCAAGAAUUGUUUCUUCCAACCACUUUCAUGAUCCUUUUGUGGAUUUCCACUGGCGGUGCAGAAUGGCUGAAUCUGUGGCCAGAAUGCUGUGGUUAAAGUUACACUGCAGCUGUACUUUUAGAUCUUAGUUAAAAUAUACCAAGUUGUUUAUGACUUUCAGCUUCUGGGGCUUUGGAGAAGCUUGAACCCAAAUCCUGGAGGUGAAUGAAAAUCAUAUGCCCUGCAACACAGAACCUUCCAAGACAGGCUUUUUGUAUUAGGUGAAUGACAACAGAAAAUGAGAUCUCCCUUCUGAUUAACAGAUCAUAUUUUCAUCGCCAUUUAGAAUUUCUUUAGCUAUCUAGGAAGGUUAUCCUGCAGACUUUCCAAGCUUCCAAGUAUAAAUAACUGGAACACUAAGGAGGAAAUCAAAACAAAUGCAUAUUUAUCUUCAGAACUGACAACAAUGUUGAAUGGAAAAAGAUAAAUCCUGUACUGGUAGCAAAAUGAAUAGCAGUCGUUUAAAACAACAGAGCCAGCAAACACAAUUUUCUUAAAAGAUUUGUGGAUUAUGGAGCAUAAAAUAACUUGUCAGUGCUCUAAGUCAUGUGUGAAAGGAAUUUGUAGAACUUUGGAUGGGGAUGCUUGCCCAGUGCUUCCCCUAUCCUCACCCUAGUCAGCUCUGAGCAAUAAAAUAGAUCAGACACCUAGGAGCACAGGAAUUGCCAUGGUGGGUCAAGAUUAGGGUCCUUCUAGUCCCACAAUCUGUCUCAUGAGAGAGGGGCAGAACCAGCUUCUUCAGAAAAAGUGCAAAGAGCCCUGCAGAAGAUUGUUAUGGAGUAAUCUGCUCAUAGGGACAGUUUCCUCUAAUCCCCAUUAGUUAGAGGUUAGUUGAUGCCCUGAAAUGUGAGAGUUUAAUAUGCCUUCUGAAACUCUUGCUGCCUUUUUACAUCUUUACCAUUGCAACUCUGGAUAUUUUUAUUAUUCAGAAUUGUUAAUCAUGUUUAUUGUGGUAGAGGCAAGGGACCAACUGAGAAUGAGGUCCAUUGUGCAAGGUACUGCACAAACAGUUUAGUAGCCAGUCCCUGCUCUGAAAAGUGAGAGGCUUACAGAAGAAGUAUCCCAUCCAUUUUUGAAGCCUGUAAAGCUCUUGGCCUCAGUGACAAUGAGUUCCACAAUCUAAUUAUGUGUUUUGUGAAAACCUCCCGGAAAUGGAGGGCCAACUGUGGGACUGUAAUUGCAGUGUGCCCAUACCAUUAGAGUGCUCUACCAAAGUAAAGGAGCUUUAACAUGGAAGUGAAUUAACACUGACACAUACUUUAUGUCCCCUUUACACUGCCACAGGGGUGUAAAGAGGCCUUAAUAUAAAUAAGAACCAGGCCUUUGAGAAUGUCAAACUUUCAUUGCAAUGCAUGGGCUGUAAGUAUGCUGAUCCCUUUUCUAGGCAAUAUUUAUCUCAAUCCUUGCAUGCUGCAUUGAUUAGAGAAAAAAAUGGACAAUUAUCCAGAUACCAAUCAUAUAUGGUGGCAUUUAUUUCUAUCCUAGAUAUUUCUAAAGCAUCUGUGCAAUUAAGCACAGAGCUGUAAAUAGGCUAGAUUAACUCACCGGAAGGAGUCUUGCUUAUAUGGACAGAAUUUAGCAAAUAGCUAUAUUUGGGGCACGAAGGAAAUUUCCCCAAAGCAUAUGUAAGCAGAGUCAGGAUGAGCUCUACCCUGACAUCUGGUGGUGAAUUAUGGGGAGUGUGGAAAGGAAUUUCAGGUAUUUGCAUUGGCACACCCA